UGACGGUGAGCGUUGUCCGGAUUUUGGGCGUAAAGAGCUCGUAGGCGGUUUGUCGCGUCUGCUGUGAAAACCCGAGGCUCAACCUCGGGCCUGCAGUGGGUACGGGCAGACUAGAGUGCGGUAGGGGAGAUUGGAAUUCCUGGUGUAGCGGUGGAAUGCGCAGAUAUCAGGAGGAACACCAAUGGCGAAGGCAGAUCUCUGGGCCGUAACUGACGCUGAGGAGCGAAAGCAUGGGGAGCGAACAGGAUUAGAUACCCUGGUAGUCCAUGCCGUAAACGUUGGGAACUAGAUGUGGGGACCAUUCCACGGUCUCCGUGUCGCAGCUAACGCAUUAAGUUCCCCGCCUGGGGAGUACGGCCGCAAGGCUAAA
rnacentral:rRNA from 1 species